GUCGAACGGGAGUUUAUUUAUAGCAAUAUGAGUGAACUCUAGUGGCGAAAGGGUGCGUAACACGUAGCUACCUACCUCGAAGUUGGGGAUAGCUCGGCGAAAGCCGGAUUAAUACCGAAUGUGAUCGUGAGAUCAAAGCUGGGGAUCGUAAGACCUGGCGCUUUGAGAUGGGGCUGCGGCCUAUCAGCUAGUUGGCGGGGUAACGGCCCACCAAGGCUUGGACGGGUAGCUGGUCUGAGAGGACGACCAGCCACACUGGAACUGAGACACGGUCCAGACACCUACGGGUGGCAGCAGUCGAGGAUUUUUCUCAAUGGGGGAAACCCUGAAGGAGCGACGCCGCGUGAGGGAUGAAGGUCUUCGGAUUGUAAACCUCUGUCAUCUGGGAACAAAGUGCUCCACCUAACACGUGGAGUAUUGAUAGUACCGGAAGAGGAAGCAGUGGCUAACUCUGUGCCAGCAGCCGCGGUAAUACAGAGACUGCAAGCGUUGUUCGGAUUCAUUGGGCGUAAAGGGUGCGCAGGCGGUGCGUUAAGUCGGAUGUGAAAUCUCACAGCCUAACUGUGAUAGGUCAUUCGAAACUGGCGUGCUAGAGGACUGGAGAGGAGACUGGAAUGGUCGGUGUAGCGGUGAAAUGCGUAGAGAUCGACCAGAACACCGGUGGCGAAGGCGGGUCUCUGGACAGUUCCUGACGCUCAGGCACGAAAGCCAGGGGAGCAAACGGGAUUAGAUACCCCGGUAGUCCUGGCCCUAAACGGUGUUCACUUGGUGUGCGGGGAGUCGACCCCCUGCGUGCCGCAGCUAACGCGAUAAGUGAACCGCCUGGGAAGUACGGCCGCAAGGCUAAAACUCAAAGAAAUUGACGGGGCCCGCACAGCGGUGGAAGCAUGUGGCUUAAUUCGAUGCAACGCGAGACCUUACCUGGCCUUGACAUGCUGGUGGUAGAUCCAGAACGAAACAACUCCUCGCAGAGAAAGCAGCACAGUGCUGCAUGUGUCGUCAGCUCGGUUCGGGAAUGUGCUAGUGC
rnacentral:rRNA from 1 species